GUGAGUCAUACAUCCUCAGCUGUUUUGUGUUUUUAUUGACCCCCAGUGUUGUUCUCCUGCUCCAAUGGAUCUCCACUCGCCCAAACUCUUUGCCCAAAGAGGCAUUUAACCAUGGGUUGACCAGUAUUGUUUUUAAAUGCUAAUGUAACUACAAUUAUCAGAAGUUCAUGGAAAAACAGAUAUUUGCCGUAAAAAUGAAAAACCUGCUAUCAAAUUUAAGAGUUUGAAAUAUUACAAACUCCAACACAACUUUGCUUGAAAGCUGUUUGCAGAUGUUUAAAACGAAACGUUUGACAUCAUAUACAUGAGUAAACAAUUUAACAGUUGUACUUACAGUACAGUUACAUUACACCAUCAUCCAGCCAAUCAGAUAAUGUAGUGGUGGGACGUAAAACAAGACAAAAUUAGGGCAAGAAAAUAGACCCAAUAGGAAAAACCAUGAUGGCAGCAGAGCCAAUUAAGCACACUUUGAAUUGAUUUAUUAUUUAUUGGCCACCUGUAAAACAAGCAUAAACACCAAAAUGGCCUUGUGCCAAAUAUUGGUUGGGGCAGAUAAUUGAUGCAUCUGUCAAAGACACAGCAAGUAAUCAGUAAAACUGACUCAAAAUCAGUCCUGUUGAAGAAAUUUAGAAAAUUCAAACUCAAAUUUCCACACAACCUUACUUCGGUAUCUCCAGGCGUAUGUUGACAACAUCUGUGGUUCUGAUGCAUUUUCUUCCUCGGUCAUGUCUUCUUAUUCUUAUUCUUCACUUUCUGUCUCCACCCCUCAGAUGCAAAAUCAAGUCAAGGAAUUACUUUCUACCACUGCGCCCAUCUGUCUGGUCUCCUGGGCAAAGGUCCUGUGUUAUUUGGCUUUUUCAUGGUAACCGGCAGCUUUGACUUUCAUUUGGUUUUUUAUCUGUUUAACUAUCUGUCUAUGAAUUUCUUUAUCUACAUUAUGGGAAAAAAUUGAUAAAUUUCUUUAAUUGUUUCUGUUUCUUGCAAAAUGAUUUGUAUACAUUUUCAAGUGAACCUGAAAUAAAAUGAGUGAAUGUAG
rnacentral:lncRNA from 1 species